GUGAAAGACUGGAUGUAUUUACCCACAGAUAAAGAAUCAUAUACUGCAUGUAAAAAUGGGAAAGGAAUGUUUGGAACUGUAAAUUUGAAAUUCAAUAUGUUAGUCUUGUAUGUGAAUUUUAAAUAGAAUAAGGGAAAUAACUUAUUUAUACAUAUAUGUAUAUUACAAACUAAGUGGCCUCCCUUGGUGUAUUGGCGUGGCUGCCUUUAGAAUUAGCUGGCAGUAAACUGUCUAGGCGCAUGCCUUGGAACAACAUGUUAUUUUUUAUGUUGGGAAUUAUGUGUGGAUACAUUCACAUUGUAUUUGAUGAAGAUACCUUGUAUCAUGUUUAUAGAUGAUUGCUUAAUUCAGACUUAAGUCUGGUACUAUGUGUUACACAUAGGGAUGAGAGUUAUGCUGAUGACAUAGAGCAGCUGCCGGACGUCCUGGCGGACAAGGUUUCCUUACUACCGGAAAUACUCAAAGAAUCUAGAGCGGAAAACACCUGUUUGGCUUAAAAAGGAGGAUUCAAACGUUGGAGGGCAUGGGCUUUGAGUAACGGACUUGAGA